rnacentral:rRNA from 1 species
CGGGGUGAGUAAUGUCUGGGAAACUGCCUGAUGGAGGGGGAUAACUACUGGAAACGAUAGCUAAUACCGCAUAACGUCGCAAGACCAAAGAGGGGGACCUUCGGGCCUCUUGCCAUCGGAUGUGCCCAGAUGGGAUUAGCUAGUAGGUGGGGUAACGGCUCACCUAGGCGACGAUCCCUAGCUGGUCUGAGAGGAUGACCAGCCACACUGGAACUGAGACACGGUCCAG